rnacentral:lncRNA from 1 species
CUGACUCGACUCGAUUUAAUCAGUCCACUCAAGCCUGCACAGCUAGCUGAAAACAAAAAAACAUAUGUCAAUCCUAGAGAUUUCUGUCUGACCAAUAAGAAUCGCGGAUAGAGGCUUCUCUAUCCGACGCAACCAACUUUACAUCUCAACCCUCCGUUUCAAUAGAGAAAACACAACUUGCUCUUCAACGGCUGUCAGGUCCCCUAUUAAGAACACUAGAUAUUAAAAUUCGCACCGUCCGAUUGUACUUUGCGGAUAUAUGUACACAAUCCUCUCCGGCUUUAAAACUUUCCGUUCGUUAGAGAGAGAAGAACUUCUGUUCAAGUGAGAGGUAAUUUUCUUUUCAAUUCUAUUUCAAUUUGAUAUUAAAUUUUUUAUUUCAAAACUUAUUGUAUGUGUAUACAAUGCGUUUUUCAGUAUGUGUAGCAGGAUUGGGGUUUUGGUUGACAUUGAUUGUCUAAUAUAAUGUGCUUGGGGUUUGUGUUUGGAUUCUAGAUUUGUUUCUCCUGUUGAUACUGAGUUUAUAUAUGUACUUUUUCAACGAUUUUCUUUUCGUCAUUUUCGGCCUUGGUGUGUUGUGAACUCAGAAUUUUGGAAAUUUACGGUUUUUUGUUGUAGAAGUUGGGUUUCAGGUUUUGAUGAGCUAGAAUUGGUUGAUCCAUUACAUUAUUUACGGGGUAGCGUGAUGAUUUUUAAAAUUUCUUCUUUGAUGUGGAUUUUUGUUUGUUGUUUUUGGUUUGGUAGCUUAGGGAUCUAAUCGGAGAUAAAAUUGUGAUUUUCUUUAGGUGAUUUUUUGGGGAGCCUU